GGGUGCGCAAGAUAUUUAAUAGGUGCGAAAAGAACAAGCCGAUAAGUAUAUGUAGGGAUCACAACCAAGGAGUUCAAAUAAUAGACAAACUCUAUAAACGAGGUUUGAAAACUUUUUACAAUAGAUGCUGAUUGAAGGAGUUAGGUAAUCUGUAUAUAGUGUUGAACAUUUUAUAAUUUUUUUUUUUAAAACGCUUGGAAACACAAUAAAAAGAUGAUAAAAAAAAACUUGUUUUAUAUUAAUUCACUCAACAUUUUUAAGAAUUCUUUAAAAGUUUCAUUAAUUUCAAC
rnacentral:lncRNA from 1 species